CGUGACAUCUGUGAAGUUGGUGACUAAGACAGAAUGAUGAGGAGGACUUUGGCGAUUUCAGCAGAAUUCUUUAUUCACUGGAGGAGGUGGUGAUUAAUGCGGGGUGGAGCUGCACGAGGCAGACGGUGGAGAGGCAUGGGGAACAGAUGUGGCUGGAGGAGCUGCCCAGAGGUCAGCACUAGGGAGGGGCCUGGAUUCUGUGGGCAGAGUCCGGGGAUGCUCUGCUUGGAAUUGUGAUGGGGGCGAGAUGAAUGGUCUAGCAGGAGGCCCUGAGCGGAGGCCCUGGCUAAGAGGCAGCUGCCUCCCUAGUGAUGCUGGAAUGUAAAGAAAAGCUUAGUCUUCCAUGAUAGAUGGUGGUGAAAUCAAACCCGAAGGGGUUUCGGGAGCUAGAAAAGUCAUCUUGGCCUGAAAGACAGCAAUAUAAUAUCCAGAGAAUUUGAACCAAAAGUCCUACAGUCCUACAGUGAAAUGGCCGGUACUCACCUCCCAGCUGCUGCCUGACAAGGUUUGAAAGCGCCACCUUCUGGGAACCCAGCAUUUAAACAUAUGAGCCUGUGGGAGACGUUUGACCUGCAAACCACAAGAAGUCAGCCUGAAAGCACCCUGUUCUUUGCCAAAUGCCCUGCCCUCUGCAGGCAAAGAAGAACAUGACCACAGCAGUGCCAAGACCAGACCAACAGGAACUUCCACGGUCACUCAUGGACCAGCCUUCUGAAGGUCUCCCGUGCACCGGAACUCCAGUCCUUCUAUUCAGUGACUGCAUGAGAUGGGAUCUGAGACUUUGGAUGGUCAGUAUCAAACUCCUGGGCGAUGCUGAUGACGCUGGACUGUGGACACAGAGCACCUGCUCUGAAAUGGGAUUUCCCAGCAAGCACCUCUGAGAAAGAGCAAUGCACUGGAAACACCAACUCCCAACUCCUCCUCAAUCCUAGUGAGUGGGGAACUAAGAGGUGACAUCCUCCGCAGCCUGAGCCCGCAUGCUCCUGAUGACCCAACUGUAUCAGCCCCACCAUCUGGUUAUGGAAGAUUUAAUGUGGCUGAACCAGGAUGGGCAUGAGUCAGAAUUGUCAUCUGGGCUGGCUCUGUGAAGGACAGGACGGCCCCAGGCAGGCAGAGAAUCACCCUGCAAUGGUGCUAAGAAGAAAAGGCAGCAGAAGGUGCCUGCAGACAGGUGGGCCUGAGGAAAGCUGAGAACAACCCAGAGAGAUAUUGGUGUCACCGUCCCUAGGCACCUGCUCUCUUCUACUGACCCUCUUGGCAGGAGCAAGUGGCAGUCUUCCCACUGACCAGUCAUCACCAACAACACAAAGACAAGAUUUUUUUUUUUUUUUUUUUUUUUGGUUUUUUGAGACAGGGUUUUCCUGUGGCUUUGGAGGCUGUCCUGGAACUAGCUCUUGUAGACCAGGCUGGUCUCGAACUCACAGAGAUCCGCCUGCCUCUGCCUCCCCAGUGCUGGGAUUAAAGGUGUGCACCACCAACGCCCAGCUCAAAGACAAGAUUUUGAAAGGAAACUAGUCAUAGUGGUGCACAACUUUAAUCCUAACCCUUGGGAGGGGAGGUAGAGUCAGCUUGUGAGUUCAAGGCCAGCUUGUCUACAUAGUAAAUCCCAGGAUGGCCCAAGACACACAGUGAGACCCCACCUGGAAACCAACCAACCAAACAAACAAACAAAAAGUGAUUUUGCAAGGUGCCUGAAAAAGUUUUCAUCCAUGGUGAAUCCAGUUUACCAUGCUGAAGGAAGAGUUGGGGACACAAAGCAGUUUCGAGUGUGAAAAACUCUUGCUGGCAGCAGAGGCGCAGCAUCCUGCCUUCCUAAAGAACCGAGACAAAGAAGGUGCACGAGGCAGCUCUGAGAGACAGGAUGGGCAUUGUUAGUGAUGAACUUACUGUUCCCUGCUUGAGAGGACGGAGGACAGUCUCAUCACAAUGUAGGUCCCCACAGGGCUAAAUCACCAAGGAGCUCAGCCACGGAUGAUGUGUAUAUGUAAAACUAGGAGCAAGGGCAGCCAGAGCAAAGCUGAAGUUGUUUCAACUUUGACCUUCAAGGGGGUGCAUCCCUGUUUAUUAUUAUAUAAUAAAUAUAUCAUAUAUUUUAUUAUAUACUGAAUG
rnacentral:lncRNA from 1 species